CAGACGUGAUGCCUGCCGCGAGCAAAGGUAGCUAGCUAGCCGAUGUGAGGAGUGGUCGCGACAGUGUCAACGAGGAUGCGGACACGGUUGCUCCUCCAGUCUGCGGAAACCACGGAGUCGGUAGGGUGGACUUCGAUGUCCACUUCAGGCAUGUCCUUGAGGAUGACCUCCCUGGCGUCCUCGAUGGACUUCCCCACUAACUCCGGCCAUGACGACUUCUUCUCCUCACCGGCGGGUGCUUUUGGGUCAGCGCAGCUCAUCCUCGAUUCCUUGAGCUGCAAAACAAUUGAUUGAAAUAGUUCAGUUCAAAGACUACAGAUUGUUGUUGCCAACCGACAACCCUAGCUACCUCUCCUUCUCAACUCACUCGCUCGAACAAGAAAGAAGGAAGGAGAUGAACACAGUGGACACAAGUUUAUCCGGCCGGCGCACGAACGCCGCCAUGGACGCACGAACGCCCGAAUCUUUUUUCUCUUUGCAUUGUCUACAUGGUGCUCAACUCAGUGCAUUACAGUCAUCCCGCGGUCUACAGAAUUUAUACCCGGGCUGGCGCACAACGCACAGCCCACCCCGUCCGCAGGAUCCGCAUGCCCCGCCGCGCGCGCCCACGACGCGCGCGCCACGGCCGAUCCCAACGGGUCGCCUACCUAGCCAGCUAACUUUCUCACCGAAAUGUACGCGCCCAUGCGCGCUCGUCCGACGACCCAGCCAAGCCAACAAACUAGCUAACUAAUCAGGGCAUGCAGUAGCAGAAUCACACACCCAUGCACACAGAUCACACACACGAGCACAUACUCAUGGGUGGCUUAUUCCUAACACAGAUCACAAUAACAUUUAAAUUACGGUUCAGACUACAAAUCACAGUGACGCUAAUGCUAGCCAUCUUGCUCUAGGGACUCAUGUACAUAAAUCAUAUGGGACUGGGAACUUAAGACUACUCACCAGCUAAAUGGGAUCGAGCUUACCCUGAACUUGACUGAUACGAGUAUUUGCAUAACCCAUUGCUUGUAUGCCUAUUUAUAGGGUGCUCCCACAUGUAUGCUGAGUUGCUGACAGGGCAGGAGUGAAGAUAAGAUGCUCUCACACACAUGCAGGCGUGGAGCACGAGCAUUUGUUUCGUUGCGCUAACUUGGCGCAUAUACAGAGAAGAUGCUCUCUCACAUGCAUGCAUGUAGCGUGCGUGGUACACGACGCGGUGGCUGCUAAAUUGGCCGCAUCUUGAUUUCGUUAGGCUCGUUGUAAUGGGUAGUAUCAUAUACUAAUAUCAUUCAUAUGAUACUAGCAUAUGACACCACAUCCGUAAUACAUAGUAUCAUAUGUUACUAUCAUAGUGUAGUUCAUUUAUUGCCAUACAAGACACAUAGUAGCACAUCAUUUAAUACGAUACGGUAUGAUGAUAUGAUACUCAACCCUCUCUUUCUUCAUUUAAUUCUAUGCCACCUCAUAAAAAAUGCCUAGUUGACAUGUAUGAUACUACCUAUGAUACUACCAUUAUACGGACAGCCUUAUGGAUAACACGUAUGCUGAAGAAGAUGACAACGUACCGCAUGAUUCACGGGCUGAUCGAUCGUGUAGAUCAUGUGAGAACGGGCUUCAUUGAUGAAAAGGUCAAGACAUGAGUAUCUGACUCAUGCGGGCCUGAGCUAAUCUUACAUUUUCAAGAAGUUAUCCCAAUUCUCUUAACAUGUAAGAUAUCCACCUUAACAUCCCACAAAACAAUGCAUUUAAAUUUUCUCUCCCACUAAAUCAUGUAAAAUCUGCCACAUAGACGCUUUUAACAUGCAUAGUGUUCACCUCAAUGUUUCACUUAGUCAUGCAAAGUCUGUCACAUAAGUGCUCUCAAUAUGCAAAAUCUGUCACAUAAGCGAGUUAUGCAUUUAUCUUAUAAAUUACAAUUAAUUUUGCAUUAUCUUAUGCAUGUAACCAUAGCACACCAUAUAUUCAUGUUAGUCAUCCUUCACAUUUUUGUUCGAAAUAACAUUUUUAAUUGUAAUACAAAAGUUUUUAUUCUAUUUUUAGACAUUUUCUUUUAUUGAGUUGUAAGUUUAUACUUCCCUUUCAUUAGAGUUAACAACUACUUACGCAUCUUUUCAGAAAGUUACUGCACCAACGCGCGGGGAGAGAGUCAUCCUCACUACUCAUGUCCAAAUUUCACUCAAUGAAGAAGACACCCGGUCCAACGAAUUUUAAAUUCACAUUAUGUUACUUAUGUUUCAAAACUAUUUUACAACAAUAAAUUAAUAAAAUAAAAUAAUUUUUUUUAUGUUUAUAUUAAUGCUCAUAUAUUUAAUUGCAAUAUUCACGUUCCAUAUAACCAAGUAUCAUCUAAACAUAUUGCCAUCAAUUCCUACAGCAACCCGCGGGAAAUUGUCUAGUUCCAAUUAUGGUCGCUCCUUCUCUUUCCCCUGUUUUGUUUGUUCAGUGACAACUCCUUCUGCAGUUUAUCCCUUGUAUUUGUAACAGUGAGCCUCAGCGUGGAUAUCGGUUUGGCUUUCUUCGUACAACGACAUGAAGGGCUGAGUAUCUUUCUUGGUGGCCGGAACAUGGCCAAUUCAUGCUCCAGGGUGAGCAAUUCAAGCCAAUGCGAGGGGUCCUCUCCGGAUCUGGAGAAGCGGUCCUUUACGGUUUCCACCUUCUUGGGUAGAUGUGGACGCGGUUCAUCGUUGCUGGGCUUUGGCGUCGUCAGUUGCUCCUCCCUGUUUGCUCUAUUGGGACAAGUCUACUUGGAGGACUCCGUCAACUACAAGCUAGUGUUUAUUUAGAUUCCUUAUAUAGGGCUUGUAGUCUUUGCUGUAAGCUGCAUCGGCAACACCGUGUAUCUGCUGUUUUUCUCUUCUGUUCCUUGUUGGUUGUAUUGGUGACCUUGUGUAAUUCCUGACCGGUUGAUGACUUUGUUAAUUCAAAGCAGGGCUCUUCUUGAGCCUUCGUUCCAAAAAAAAGUACUACUUGAUAAUAUGAAGCACAAAUUAUAAAUAACUGGUCAAGUACAUUGAUCCACAGGUAGCAUGCUGGUGGUCAGCAUCUAUUUAUUGAUCCAUGCUUAUUGGAAGUACUUAUUCAUCAGCAUCCACAAUGCAUCCAUGUUGCCUUUGCUUGCAAAGCUAGCUAGCCAAUGUGGGGAAUGGACGCGACAGUGUCGACGAAGAUGCGGACACGGUUGGUCCUGAAGUCGAGGGUCACCGGCGAGCCGGCUGGGAGGACGACGAUGUCCGCUUCAGGCAUGUCCUUAAGGAUGAUCUCCUUGGCCUCCUCGAUGGACUUUCCCACUACCUCCGGCCAUGACGUCUUCUUCUCCUCUCCGGCGGGGGCUUUUGGGGCGGCGCAGCUCAUCCUCGAUUC
rnacentral:lncRNA from 1 species